rnacentral:rRNA from 1 species
GUGACGUUACCAAACUGUUGCCUCGGCGGGGUCACGCCCCGGGUGCGUCGCAGCCCCGGAACCAGGCGCCCGCCGGAGGAACCAACCAAACUCUUUCUGUAGUCCCCUCGCGGACGUAUUUCUUACAGCUCUGAGCAAAAAUUCAAAAUGAAUCAAAACUUUCAACAACGGAUCUCUUGGUUCUGGCAUCGAUGAAGAACGCAGCGAAAUGCGAUAAGUAAUGUGAAUUGCAGAAUUCAGUGAAUCAUCGAAUCUUUGAACGCACAUUGCGCCCGCCAGUAUUCUGGCGGGCAUGCCUGUCCGAGCGUCAUUUCAACCCUCGAACCCCUCCGGGGGAUCGGCGUUGGGGAUCGGGACCCCUCACACGGGUGCCGGCCCCGAAAUACAGUGGCGGUCUCGCCGCAGCCUCUCCUGCGCAGUAGUUUGCACAACUCGCACCGGGAGCGCGGCGCGUCCACGUCCGUAAAACACCCAACUUUCUGAAA